GCAGACCUGAAUUGAGGGCACUUGCACUGUGUGCAGUUGUGCUGGCUCAUGCCACAUGACAGGAUAGGAGCCCUGUAGGAAGACAGUGCAGCUUUGUCCAACAGAGUGCGGCCAAGCUGUGCACCCAAGGGCUGCCCUUGCUGGGAGAAAGGCAUGCCUUUUUCUUGACACAAAGGUACCACCUACUAACCAAACCCUUACCUGACAAGGACCUGCCCACCAAGUGGGAUCUCUGUCUUCUAAUGUAUCUGCCUGCCUUGCAGGUGGGGAGAGGCGCCACAUUUUUCUAUUUUUUUCAGCCUGGUGAAGCUUUUUCUGCCCACAAAGACAUCUUCUGCAUGACAAGCCAUCAGCCUGCUUAAGGAACCUGAGCUCCACAGGACUCAAUGAAAAAGCAACUGUAACAGAAGAGAUAGGUAUAUUUCCCCAAAACUGAAAGCCAUUUUCAUCUCUUGUUUUCUGGAUGCCUCAGAUCCCAGAUGUGUACCUGGAUUCUGGAGCUCCAGGAAAGAACCCCCCUGUGUUCACAAUGGCGGUCCCUGGUGCCUGCAGAACUUAGGACAGGGAGUUGGGGAGGUGGGGUGGUUAGGGACAAAACCCAAAUAUGGACUCCUUAAGAGAAAUUUCAACCUUAGGAAGAAAGGAAUCUGUCCCAGGCAGCAGCACAGUUGCAAUUCAGAGGAAGCUGCGGUUCCAAGUGUAGGGUGGUGGACUCUACUGUAAUCAGCCACCCUGAAGUCAAGCAGACAUCUGGGGUGUCUCACCAAUCUCCCAGCCCCUAGAAUGCCAAACAACCCUGCUCUGAGGCCCUGUAAUAUUAUCACAUGGGGGUCAGGGAGCUACUCUCCUUCAAUACUUCCAAGCAAACUGCCUAGAGCCAAAAGUCCAGGAAAACUAAGCACUUUGCAGAUUUGAGUGAGAAAUCCCCAGGGACUUCCAUAGAAACUGGGAGUCUCAGAAAUACCUACCAGGUUGGUUUCCUGAGGCAGUGAGCCAGGGAAGGAGGACUGAUGGUGAUGUUGCCUCAUUUGGAUGCUCCAUGAGCCUACGCAAGUUUCACAAAAUCUUCAAAGGAAAACAAAAUAUCAAAUGAAUCCAGUAACAACAUUCUGGGGAAAAGGCUACCUGGAAGAGGGACAAAAAGGGACGAGUUUCCAGAGGAAGCCUAGGGAGGAUGCCUGAUGUCACUGCUGACAGAGGAAGCAGGAGGACUCAGCGCUCUCUGGAAUGACCAGGCUGUGAUGGGUGUGGCAGGCCAGAACUGGACAGGAUCAUUAAAACCCUCGGAGAGGUUUUCACUGCGAGAAAGAAGAGCUACCAGGCCUGGAGGGGAAUAAGAUUGAGGACCCAGGCUGCCAGUGAACUUAUGCCCACCCAGAAACUCAGCUGCAGAAAAGUGGUAGGGAUUAUUACACCAAACUGAGAAUUACAGUCUCUGCCUCCUCAGCCCCUGGCAGAGCUGCCACACAUGGCAGCAGCACUGUCCUGCCUCCAGGUGAAAUAGGAGCCACUGGGAUCACCCACCACGCUGCAGGAGCUAUGAGGCAUACAGGAGCAUGGGGAAGGGAUAUCAACACACAUAAACAAAGUAGUUCCAUCCUUGCCUUAUGUCUGUCUUUUUUAUACCUCCGUAGAUGUGGCCAACAAAAUUGCUCCAUAAAUUGGACACUGCCCAAAGAAGUCUUUAACGCCAUUCCUGGGUUCUUUGUCAAAACCAUGGUGGCUUUUCCUGUCUUCACAGAGCUAAGCCCAUUGUUUUGUGGUCCCUGCAGCUGUACCUCUGACCUGGGUGGAGCUGCAUGUCUAGGCAGGAGAGGCUUGGGAAGCUAGAGUUGUUGCUGGUGAUCUGUUUUCAUCUUGGGGCAGGAGCCAGGCUGGGUGCCAGAAGCAACUUUUGAUUAGUCAUUAGGCACAGACUUUGCUUCAGCCACAUAGCCACCUCAUUCCUGCCUCAGGGCCUUUGCACUUGCUGUUGGCUCUGCUUGGAGUCCUCUCUCUUGAUCUGCACUGGACUUGUUCCUCCCUACUUCAUCAAACGUUACCUUCUCAGAAGGACCUUCCAUGUCCACCUCCAGUGCAGGCCCUGUUCACACUCUGUCCACUGCUCUGCUGAUUUCCUUAUGAUAGUUACGGCACUCUACAAGGAUCUUGUUUAUUUGUUUACAUGGCCACCGUCUUUUUCCCUACGGGAACGUCUGGAACCUUAGCUCCACCAGGGUCAUCUGAAGGCUCCCAGGGUGACCCACACAGACCAGACCCCAGCCUGCACCCCAGGAGGCUCCUGCUCCCCACAUACACAGAGCUCACCUCAGCCUUACCUCGCAGAUGAGGAAGACUUUGGCGCCCACACAAAUGCCCAUGUGUGUCACGGCCCAGACAGCAGUGUUCAUGCCUGCGAGAGGUCAGGGCAAGCCUAUCAGUCCCAUGCUGAGAUGCGAGGCCCUGGACUCCUCCCCACCUCAGAGGGUGAAGGGGGGAGGCCUGGACACCCUCUCCAUCUCAAACGGCAGGGGGUGAGGGGAAGGUCUGGCAGGGGAGGGAUCUUGUCUCUCUUGUUCACUACUGUCCACAACCUCCAGCACAAUGCUGGGUAUAUGAUCGGUAAUAUCUGUUGAAUGAAUAAAUGAAUAAAUGCACACAGCAGCAAGCUGUAUGGCUGCUUAUCCAGCAUAACUGUAUCCCUGCGCUUCUCCCUUCCUAACAUAACUUCAAUCUGCUUGGCAACAUGUCCUAUUCAUGACCACGUGUUUGCCCUAAGCUGUUCAUAGUAUUCCCUCUUUCUCUGUGCUAAUAACUGGUUUUUCAAAAGGACCCAUGACUUAGUUCUGACCGAAACCAUGAGCAGAAGUCUACUAGGUAGGGCCAGGGGUUCUAAAAGAGGUUUUCCCCUUUAUAAAAAGAGAAGCAGGCACUGUCAUAUUAUCUGGAUUAGAUCUGCUUAGUACAGCUGUGCCUCACUUCUCACUCUGAGGAGAGUUACCGUGAAGAAAAGUGCAACCCGAUGAAGAUAGCUAGGGUGCGAGCUGGAAGAAACUGGGUCUUCUAUGACAUUACUGAAGAACUAAAUUAACCAUCUCUGGAGCUUGCAUACCUCUGGAUUUCUUGUUAUGGAGUAUAAUAAAUUUUCUUAUUAUU